CUCCGCGCCGUCGUCCUUCUCGCUCUGGGAUGGCCGAGGCGCCCGCUCCCCCUGAACUCGCCGGAGCAGGGAUACAGCCGCCCGGGGCCUCUUGCUCGUGCUUGGUUUUCCGUACCCCACUUCCUUAAGGGUCUUUAGGGGUUCCCGGACUCCUUCGCCUGGGAGCCUCCAUCCGCCCCGCACAGCCCCCGGCAGGGCCGAGGGGAGGCUUCAGUGGCUACCUGGUGGGGCCUAGCGGCCCUGCUCGCUGACGUCAGCGCCGGCGCCGUCAUUUAACAGCUUUUGCUUAGGGCAGAAGAAGCUAUGGGCACAAAAAGCAGCAUCGAGUAGCGGUGGCGGAAGAACGAGCAGGAGCUUGAAUUUCAGUUUUCUUAUGAGGAAUUUUCCAGAAAAGAUAUCUUCACUGUGAAAUAAGUAAAUAAAUGCCUACUCAGUACAACAAAAAUACCUGCUACAUACUUCCUUCUGUAUGAAUACAUGAGACCUACCUUCAUUCAUAAAGACCUACCUCUAUGAAGCUUUCCCUGAGCUCCAAACACAGAGCUGAGACUUCCACCUAACUUAGAAAGCUAGUACAAGCCGGCACUGACAGAUGGAAGACUUGAGAUGUUACAAGAUGAUAUAUGGAAACUCUAAAGGAGUGGAGUUGCUGGGUCACAUGGCAAUUCACUUGAGGAACUGAGAAGCUUAUUCUACAGAGGCUGAACUGUUUUAUAUUCCCACCAGCAAUUAUAAGGUUCCAAUUUCUCUACAUUGUCACCAACACUUGCUAUUUUCCAUUUCCUUAAUGAUAGCCAUCCUAGUGGAUUUGAAGUGGUACCUUAUCAUGGUUUUGAUUGCAUUCUCUAUUGACUAAUGAUAUUGAGCAUCUUUUCAUGUAUUUUUUGGUCAUUUGGUCAUUUUUCUUUUUUAAUUUUAAAAUUUUGAGACAGGCUCUCACUAUAUUGCCCAGGCUGGUCUCAAACUCCUGGGUUCCAGCGAUCCUCAUGCCUUGGUCUCCCAAAGGGGUGGGACUACAGGUGUGAGCCACUGUGCCCAGCCCAUUUGUAUAUCUCCUUUGGAGAAUAUCUAGGUUCUUUUGAAGGUAGCUGCAUAGAAACUAGCCUAAUUAACAGACUGUGAUUUUUAGACUGCUUUCCGUAUCUACAAGAACUAUUUAGUUCUCAAAACUGGGAAGAAAUGUUUCAGAGGCAUCAUUAAUUCAUAAUCUAAAAAUUUAUUUCAGGUUUCCUUUUUUUCCCCCAGAUUCUGUAUCCUCCAUAGUUCUAUUCAUGACAUGGGUCAUUCAUCUCUGUAUUCUAAACCCUCAACAAACUGCAGACACUAAUAUUUAUUGGAUGAA